rnacentral:tRNA from 1 species
GGCAGCUGAGUGGUUAAAGCACUUGACUGCUAACCAAAAUGUCGGUGGUUUCAACCCAUCAGCCG